rnacentral:rRNA from 1 species
GACGUAGGGCGCGAGCGUUGUCCGGAUUUAUUGGGCGUAAAGAGCUCGUAGGUGGCUUGUCGCGUCGAAUGUGAAAUCUCAGGGCUCAACUCUGACAUUGCAUUCGAUACGGGCAGGCUCGAGUUCGGUAGGGGAGACUGGAAUUCCUGGUGUAGCGGUGAAAUGCGCAGAUAUCAGGAGGAACACCGGUGGCGAAGGCGGGUCUCUGGGCCGAUACUGACGCUGAGGAGCGAAAGCGUGGGGAGCGAACAGG